rnacentral:rRNA from 1 species
UUGAAGUCGAGAAUGAAAGGAAAAAUUAAAAUAAACUGUCUUAAAAAGUUUUUUUUAAAAAUUGCUAAUAUGGUGAAAAUUCCAUAAUAAAUUUUAAUAGACGAGAAGACCCUAUGAAUUAUUAUUAAAAAUAUUUUUGUAAAAUUUUAAAUUUUUGUUGGGGCAACAGGAAAAAAGAAAAAAAAAUUUUCUAUUAUUAUAAUUUUAUAUUUGAAGUUCUUACUAUAAAUGAAUUUAAUU